rnacentral:rRNA from 1 species
ACGCUCGACACCUACGGGAGGCAGCAGUGGGGAAUAUUGCACAAUGGGGGAAACCCUGAUGCAGCGACGCCGCGUGGAGGAAGAAGGUCUUCGGAUUGUAAACUCCUGUUGUUGGGGAAAAGAGGAUGGUACCCAACAAGGAAGUGACGGCUAACUACGUGCCAACAGCCGGUAAUCUGAGCGGGCUGGCAAGGC